rnacentral:rRNA from 1 species
UUGACGGUACCCUACUAGAAAGGAGCCGCUAACUUCGUGCCAGAAGCGUCGGUAAUACGGGGGCUCCAAGCGUUAUCCGGUGUUAUUGGGCGUAAAGAGUCGUGUAGGUGGUUGGGUAAGUUAUCUUUCAAAUAUCUUUGCUUAACAAAGAGGAGGGGGAUAAUACUGCUCGACUAGAAUUUUCUCAAGGGAGAUCGGAACUGAGGGAGGAGUAGUGAAAUGCGUUGAUACCCUCGGGAACACCAGUGGCGUAGGCGGAUCUCUGGGAGAAGAUUGACACUGAGACACGAAAGCUAGGGGAGCGAAGCAGAUUAGAGACCUGCGUAGUCCUAGCCGUAAACGCAUGCUUGCUAGCUGCAUGAAUCUACCUUCGGGUGGUAUCGUGUGGCGAAGGUAACCCGUUAAGCAAGCCGCCUGGAAAGUACGGCCGCAAGGCUGAAAUUCAAAGGAAUUGGCGGGGAGGCACACAACCAGUGGAACAUGUGGUUUAAUUCGAGACUAACCGAAGAACCUCACCAGGGUUUGACAUGUAGCUGCACGUCUUAAGAAAUUAAGACUCUCUUGAAGGUGCUACACAGGUGCUGCAUGGCUGUCGUCAGCUCGUUCCGUGAGGAGUGCCCUUAAGUGGGACAACGAGCGCAACCCCUAUUACAUGUUAGAAAUGUCAUGUAAGACUGCCUUGCCAUUUGGCGGGGAGGAAGGAGGGGCAGACGUCAAGUCCGCAUGGUCCUUAUGCCCUGGGCUACACACAUGUUACAAUGAGUACGGCAAUGAGUCUGUCGCGAGCACGUAAGUGUAAGCUAAUCUCUUAAAUGUACUCUCAGUGGGGAUUGAGGUCUGCAACUCGACCUCAUGAACACGGAAUUGGUAGUAAUCGCGGGUCAGCUAUACCGCGGUGAAUACGUUCUUGCCUCUUGCACACACCGCCCGUCAAACCAGCAAAGU